GAAAUUUCAUUCGCACUAGCGAUAGCUAGUUUUUCUGAAAAGAUAUAAAAGUGUCGGCAAGGAAGCAAUUAUAAAAUAUUAAUUAUUUUAUAAAGUAUUUCUUGAUUAAUUUUCUCGAGGAUAAGCUCGAGAAAAAGUUAAGAUAUUUUCUAAUUUAAAUUGUUAUGUAGGCUUAAAAUUGGCCAUCACAGGAACUUGUUAUAAAACAACGAUUUUAAUAUUUAAAAUGAAUAUAUUUUGUUCUAAUUUUUUACAGAAAUAAAAGCUUUAACUAACAAAAGCUUUAUACCUAUGCUAGGAUGAGUAUUAAAAUCUUAUAUAUAUUAAGAAAAUUGUCAUUUACUUUUCUUCUAGAAAAGUAUUAAUUAAAUUAAAUUAGUUAGAAGGAACUCGGCAAAUUUAAUUGCUUCGCCUGUUUAUCAAAAACAUGGCUCUUUGCGUUUACUUUAUAGAGAGUCAGGCCUGCCCAGUGAAUAAUAUUUAACGGCCGCGGUCUCUGACCGUGCAAAGGUAGCAUAAUCAUUU
rnacentral:rRNA from 1 species